rnacentral:lncRNA from 1 species
GGGGUGCAGCCACCGCCCCCCGCCCGAUCCGGCGCCCCCAGAGGCGGGCGGCCAUCGCCCGCCAGCCCGCAGCUUGUCGCGCAGGUCUAGUCCGCCGCCAUGCCGGGGCCUGUACCUGCGCUGGAAGUCCCGCUCGAAGGGGGCCAGGUAGGGGUCCCGCUCUAGCAGCUCCGGUAGCUUAGGCGCCUGCGGGCCUUGCGUGCCAGAGGCGGCCAUCUUGCCACCACGGCUCGGUAGCGCCGGGCACGGCCGCUAUAUACCUCCAGGCGGGGGAGGGGGGGGUCUCGGCGCGGGGCGGGCGGGCGGGCAAGGAGCCCACUGCCUCUCACCGCCCGGCGCCGCCCACCGGCGGGGGCAGCCCCGGGACCGAGAGCCGCCCGCCUCCGCCGCCACUCCCCGCCCGCCGUGUGCCUCGCGGCCUUGGGCGGGGUGGGAGGCCGGGGCUGCGGGUGGUCCUGGCCGCGACGCUCGGGCUCCCUGGAAGGGGCACGGGGUGCGAGCGCUGCGAUAAAUUCCUCCGCCGCUCGGCGGGGCGCUGGGCAGCUCGCAGUCGAGCGCAGCGACGCGACUCUGAUGGCAUCCGUGAGCUCUCAUAAAACGCUGCGUGUGUCUGGCAGAAUGCUGCUUCGCGGGGGCCAGAGGAGACCUGAACAAAGUAGAGUGAGUUCAGUGGAUCCUAAAGCAGCUGUAAAUGCUGAAUAGCACAGAUAGAUUAUGAGGGACAGGGUAUCAAUCAGUGUGUUUCAUUUUUGGAUAGGCCUCCAGGUAUCCAGGGUAACUCUUUACCAGCCUGAUCGUGGCUGUUGUCCAGCACUUUUUUUAAGAUACAGCAGUAUUGCUUUGUUAAGAUACAUACUGACAAUGUGUAUUUACAGGCCUCUUUUUGGAUACAUUUUAGCCACAGGUUAUAAACUUUCCAGCACUAGGGUACUUGGCAUUGCUUCCACAACCAUCUCCCAAGAUUUCUGUCCGUGGUUUGUAACUCAUCUCCCCUGCCUUGGCUUACUGUGGAUUUAGAGUGCCUUCCUAUUCUGCUGUCAGGUGACAGCCUGUAACAAACUACAGCAGUUCAUUUAUAGCUUCUCCAAAAAUUGGCUGCAGUGACAGUUUUCAAAAUUAUUUGUUUCAUCAAAUGGUAUGCAUUUAACUACGCUGUAUUUCUUUCCUUGCAGCAGUUUAUAACUACACACAAAAAAAUCCAAGUACUUUUGUCUUACAGAGAACUAAAAUUGUUCUCUGUCCUAAGAAUCAGUGGCUCAGUAUCUGGAUGGAGAUCAGUAGUAAGCGGUGUCCCUCAGGGAUCAGAACUGGGAUGAGUGCUGUUUAAUAUCUUCAUCCAUUACAUGAACAGUAGGAUCAAGUGCACCCUCAGCAAGAUUGUGGAAGAUGCCAAGCUGUGUGGUACAGUCAGCACAUCUGAGGGAUAGAAUGCCAUCCAGAGGGACCUAGACAGCUGUAAGCAGUGGACCCAGGUCAACCUCAUGAGGUUCGAUGAAGCCAUGUGCAAGGUCUUGCACCUGGGUCAAGGCAACCUCCUCUAUCAGUACAAGAUGGCAGUGAAGGAAUGGAGGACAGCCCUGCAGAAAAGGACUUGGGGGUACUGAUGGAUGGGAAGCUGGACAUGAGCCAGCACUGGGCCCUCACAGCCCAGAAAGCCAACUGUAUCCUGAGGUGCAUCAAAAGAAGUGUGAUCAGCUGGUCAAGGGAGGUGAUCCUGCCCCCUCUACUCUACACUGCUGAGAUCUUACCUGGAAUAGCAUGUCCAGGUGUGGACACGCUCCUCAGUACAAGAGAGAUGUGGACCUGUUGGAGGGUCCAGAGAAGGGCCACAGAAAUGAUCCAAAGAAUGGAACACCUCCCCGUGAGGACAAGCUGAGAGAGCUGGGGCUGUUCAGCCUGGAGAAGAGAUGCCUCUGGGGAGACCUGAGAACAGCCUUUCAGUAUCUAAAGGGGGGCUGUGAGAAGUAAGGGGACAGACCCUUUAGCAGUGCCUUAGCAGGGUCUGUUGUGAUAGGACAAGUGGAAAUUAUUUCAAACUAAAAGAGGGGAGACUUAGACUGGAUAUAAGAAAGAAGGUUUUUUACAAUAAGGCACUGAAACUGGUUGCACAAAGAGGUAGUGGCAGCCCUGUCUCUGGGGACAUGCAGGGUUUAGACUGGACAGAGCUCUGAGCAACCUGAUCUAGUCGGUGUCCCUGUUCACUACAGGGAGUUGGACUAGAUAACCUUUAAAGGCCCCUUAAACGAUUCUAGGAUUCUGAGAAAUUGUUACAUAACUUGCCUCGGUGUCUACCAUUUCUUCAGUCUCAGUCAGGACUGAAAACCUGUUAUAUGCCUCAGAACUGUCUGUGUAGCAGUGAUUCCCUUGUCUGUGUUAAACUGAAGUUUAAUAACUCUAUCUUAUUUCUGACAUCAUGCUAUGCACAUUAUGUUUUCUUUUGCAAACUGUCUCUGACAUUCCCAUAGUUAUCUGGUUGGGCAAGCAAAGAGGGGAGCAAAUCCAGCUGUUAAUCAAGAGCCAGGAACUUGUUUUUCACAAUAGCUAGCGUUUUACCUGUACUGCUGUUUGAGGCUUCCAGCUGUAAUGGAGAGGUUGCCUGCUGCUCACGAGGAAGGAGGGGGGAAAUCCCUGCAGUCUUUGAAUAUACUACCAUAGGAAACAGGAGCUUCAUUUUAAGCACAGUCUGUUUGGUUUUCUUAAUUAUCAGAAAGCUCAACAGGUUCAGAGUGCCAUUAUUAGCUAUUUGGCAUAGACACAAGAGAGAGAUUUAUAAAUUGGCAUUAGCAAUUCAUGUAAACAGUAGGAAUAUUGCUGUGACUUCGAGCUCCCUGGAGACAGAGACCCUUUCUUAACCUUUGUUUGUGAGAUUGUAAGCAGAAAUAACACAGUACCCAGACUCGCAUCCAAGCAUCCUUGAAUGUCAGGAAGUUAAAUUCUUCAAGUAGCCCCAAGUGCUAUAUUUAAUACCUUGUGAAUUGGGAAAUUGAUAACCAUUCUAUUUGUAUCCAUUCAUGUUCAAGUUUACAACUGAGGUGUGAUUUUAUCUGCCUGCUCAAAGACACAAAGGCAUAUAUUACUGUGAUCUAUUCCAGUGUGAUCUGGCUGAGACUCUAAGGCUGAAUUUGGCUCUGAGGACAUUGCCAUUUAGUCUUCUACCUAGAGGCAAAAAAAGGGCACUCGAAACAAUAAAUGUUGUUGCAGUAGAUGAAUGCUUCUUUGUGUAUUUGUCUGACAUCCACCCAAAGAUAGCAGCUGCCAGUAGAGAUAGGAAGAAGGGGUGGAUGGUAAUAACUGCUCUUUUGGGGGACAGUAAUGGAUCUUAAAGGACUGGCAUCUGAGGCAUGUGUCUGGCACCCAGCUACCACCAAGAACAGAGUAUAUCAAACCACUCUAAAUUUGUCUUUCAAAGGAUGUUUAUUAUUAAGUUGUGUAUACUUUAAAAUGUUGCAUAGCAGUGCUAUGCAAUAACUAGUUACAAUUCUUAUAAUAGUUUCUGUACGAAGUUCAAAAAGAAAUCCAAGUUUUGUAUUGAAGAACAUUCAAGAACUGACUACUCACGUAAUGCACUACAGCAAUUUUCAUUUUCUCAUAUAUUGCUCUUACUUGCAAAAGUAGACAGAGAUGCUAAACUGUAGGAACAGGGUUCUUUCUCUGAAGCACUGGUUCAAAUUCUUCCCACCAUCCUGGCUCUCAGAUUGGCCAGAGACCACCUCAUGGUGUUAGCUGGAGCCUGCAGGGAGACAGACAGGACAGUUGUCAAGGGUACUGUGUAACUAGUUUUCCUUCCACUAUAGGCAUAAAAGGGGCAUUGCAAACAUACAGUACAUUUCUUAAAUAUCACUAAUCUACAUAGUCUUUACAGGUAGGUCAGACAUUGGCAGUUGAGAUUAUACAAGUUUUUUAUUCCUGUCUUUGAGCUUUCCAAGGCUCUGCUGAGAUGCAGAAGGAGGAAAAAUGGGCAGUGUUGCACAGUUGCUGAAUCUCAGCAGCAUGUCAGUUCUUUAAUUAAAACAUUAAAAAGUUUUGCAGUUUUUGUAAGGAUUCAACUAUUAAUUAAUUACUUAGGAAAAAUAAAGGAUAUAACAUUGAAAAUUACAGCAAACAUUCCAAGAAUCCAUUAGUCUAUCCCUUAAUUAGUUUAUGGUUUGGGGGGUUUGUUUUUGUUGGCUUUUUCUCUGUCAGUUUGUUUUAGGAAAUUUAUUAUUCAUUGAGAUUGUCUUUUUAGGUCUUACCAUUGCCCUCGUAUGGUAACAGGAUCUUUAAAUAGAAACACAUCUUUAAAGAUCAAAAGUAAUCUGAAAUCUAAACUACUAAAAAGCCACUUUCAGAGUUGUCAAAUUCCACUAAAUGCUUUUGAUAGGAAUGCUAUUUGCACUUAGCAUACAGAACCAAAAUCACACUGUAGCAGCAUGAAAGCACUAGAUAAUGGCUGCUUUUUGCUUUCAUGUUACUGAAGUAUUACUAUGAUCUGGUGUCCCCAUGGAACACCUCCCUUGUAAGGACAGACUGAAAAAGCUGGGACUGUUCAGCCUGGAGAAGAGAAGCCUCUGGGGAGACUUGAUAGCAGCCUUUCAGUGUCUGAAGGGGGGCUGUAAGAAAGAAAAGGACAGACUCUUUAGCAAGGUCUGUGGUGACAGGACAAGGGAAAAUGGUUUAAAACUAAAAGAGUGGAGAUUUAAAUUGGACAUAAGGAAUUUUUUUGCAAUAAGGGUGGUGAGGCUCUGGAACAGGUUACUCAAAGAUGUGGUGGAGUCCCCAUCUUAGGAGACAUUCAAGGACCUAUAAAGGUCCUUUCCAACUUAAAAGAUUUUAUGAUUCAUUACUACUUAGUAAGAAUAUUUUACUUCAUGUUAUUACAUCACUUCAAUAAUACUCCAUAUCUUUUUGUUUGUUUUGCUUUGGUUUAAUCUCUUCUUUGUAACAAACAGAUAAAUAUUUAUAAUUUAAAUAGCAGUUUAAUUACAAUCACAUAUAAGGUUAAUUUUGAGUUUUCUGAGUUAAUGUUAUCCUACUUCAGCUGGAAUUAUGGAUUAAUGUUUCUCAGUUUCCAAUGCCCUUCGUUUUUUGGUGUCUCUUUGAGUUUUUUGUUAAUCUCUCAAAAUUCUCCCUGGAUGUUGGAUUCAGUCUCCUAAUUCCACUGAAGAAACAUUUGAUAUCUGAUUUUAGUUUAACUAACCACUCUGUGCAGAUAUUUCUCCCAUUCUGCAUGAUCAGCUUCUACAGCAGGGCUCUCAUAUAAGUUCUGGUUUCCACUGCUUUCAUAUUUCAACUUCUUUGUUAGCACUUCAUUCUGUUUGUGUAUGCUUAAUCAGAAUAACCUUUUAAAUUGUACAGAUUUCAGCUUGUGCCAGUAUUCAGUCUUUCUGCAUUAUGUUCUCUUCUCAGGCAACAUCCAGGCUUGUCAUUUUCCAAUUGUCCAUUCAUUCCAUCAGGACAGUAGGCCUUCCCCAAUGAUCAAAUUGUAAUUUGAAGUCUGUAAAGGUGAAGUGUAAGCCUUUUUGGCUGCAGCUGAGAGAAAAACUCACAAAGGAUUCCAUCCUGGGAGCUGAGUCAUUCUCUAAAUCAAGAACUGUCAUUCUCUGUACAUAAAAUAUUCCUCUGCAGAGCUUAAGGUAAGUCUUAUUGCGCUGCUUUCCUUCAGGAAUUUAUAUCUGCAUAGAAGAAAAUUGAGCCUCAUGCCAAUAGAUGAGAUAGACUUUAUGGCUUCUCCAUGAUCACACCACAUAUUGGUAAAAGCAUGGAACUGUGAAAUAUGAGAUGCAAAUGUCAAAAUAUUUCUUUGUUUUUGUAAGGAGUUGCACAAGGAGUCAUUCCUUUUCUGUACAACAAAGUAUGGGUAUUCAUAACUGUAAAAAAAGCCACGCUACCAAGAAUAGAAAAAAUAAAUGCCAUUUGUUGUUUGUUGUUUUGUUUUUCUAAUUUCCUUUCUGUAGAAUGUAGCAUCAAUAUUCUCAAAAAUAAUAAUAAAAAAAACCCUCUAAAAAAACUAUCAUAUUGUCUAUUGUUUUUCUUAAAUCUAUAAAUGUUUUGCAGGUCUUAAGUCAGUUGUCUUGCUCCAGUUUUUGAUCUUUGGAAUAAACUUAUUAUUAGUAGCAUAUUAUUAUAGAUUAACUUAUUUUGGCUUUUAGUAUUUGUCCUGUUGUUCACAUGAUUUCAUUUGUAUGUUGGGAACCAAUUUUUUGUAAACAUCAAGAGUUCUUUCAACACUGACACAAUUGCAAGGAAUUUGAGGUAGGUUCUGUCGUACUUCUAUAAUAAAUUAUUAUAUAACAAGUUGAGUAGCUACAGAAAAAAAGGCCUUUUUAUAAGUUGGAAAAUGGGUACACUGCACAUUUCAGGUUAAUAAAAUUUAUAUGCUGUUUUGAGUGCAAGUUUGCAUAUUAACCAAAAGGGGGUUGAUUAGUUUUUUUCCUUUUAUUCUUUUCAAAAUGUUUUUUUUUUUGUAUAUUAGCAAAUAUCCAUUAGUAAAAAGUAUAAAAUGUUCUCUGAUAACUUUCUAUUAGAAUCAUAGAAUCAUAGAAUGGCCUGGUUGAAAAGGACCACAAUGAUCAUCCAGUUUCAACCCCCAUGCUAUGUGCAGGGUCACCAACCACAACACCAGGCUGCCCAGAGCCACAUCCAGCCUGGCCUUGAAUGCCUCCAGGGCAUGCCUCCACAACCUCCUUGGGCAACCUGUUCCAGUGCGUCACCACCCUCUGUGUGAAAAACUUCCUCCUAAUAUCUAACCUAAACCUCCCUUGUCUCAGUUUAAAACCGUUAUGUUAGAGAAGAUUCAGCAAAGGCUUAAAUUUCUUUUGUCUUACACUGUAAACCUGGAUAGUGAAGAAAAUAAAAUUGUCAAGAAUAUGGUAUCUGCUUGUAAAUAAAAUACUGUCAUUCACAGUUAGACAUAAAUAUGCAGAGGCUAUAGCUGUGAGAGCUAUUUAAAAAUCAGAAGUCAGAAUGCAGUCAUGUUCGGAGGAGUAACACAUAAAAAGUUAUCCCUCAAGAACAUUCCCUUCUAAAGUGUAACCAAAUAAAUAGAAUUAUUUCAUGUAGUGCUGUAUAAUUGAGAUGACUUAGAAUUCCCCCUCUUAUAACACUUUUGAUCUAGCUGUUAGGUGUGACAGGGUAAGGUUAAUUCUCCUUCUCCUAUCACAGGUUAGGAAAGACUUAGUUCUAAGAAUUAAAGGCUCAUUAAAGGAGGAUGGCGAGACUUCUUUUCCAGUGUACACAUUAAUUACCGUAACACUCAGUGAAUUUAUGUUUGCUGACAAAAUGACAUACCUUGUUUACAUAUCAGUGGAAAAAAAAAAAUUGAGUUUCUGGCUGAUUGAAACUGUCACUUUCCUCAAGUAACUACUCUAAUGAAGUAAAACCAAGGAAAACAGAGCAAGAUUUUGUAAAAACAUAUACUUCUUCUAUAAGCAAAACAGCACCUGUUUCUUUUUAGAAAGAAUGUGAAUUGAACACAAGUCUUGAAAAAGUCACUAAACUCGUGAUCUGAUCUACCGUUCUGGACCUUAUAUGACCAUCUACUGAAUUUCUGGCUUUCCACUGAUGACAACAAACACCUUUGUAAGUAAAAUUAACAUAGUGCUCGUACCUUAGAUUUUGAGGUGAGCAAUGCCAGGGACAUCUGCAGCCACAGGACAGGUAAAACACUUCUAUCCUCCUCCAGCAACACAUCAGAAUUCUUGGUAAUUAAGAAAGGCUAGAGAAUACAUAUGUCAGCAGAUCUAUGUGGUUUUGUUUCCACAGGAAUACCUUAUCCUUCAUUUUAUUUUGCCCCUACUAAUUCUUUGCCUCAGCACACAGAAAAAUAACUGCACAACUGCAGUUUCAGAUACAUGUUACAAUCCUGCCUUCUGCUCAGUAUAAAAUAUUUUUACUCACCUCCCAGUGUGCAGUCCAGUGAGAAUAAAAUACAUUGCUAAGAAAUUAUUAAUAUAUGCAACCUUACUUGACUUUCCUUUUAGCUGCUGAAAUAAGAUACUUAAUUUCUUUACAAGUCUGUGUGGAUAGAUGUCUAGAGUUUAUGAACUGUCAAAAGUGUGAUUUAAGGAUAACUAGCAGAGCUGCAAAGCAAACAAGAAGCUGCUCAGCACUGGGUAGUGACAGUGCUUGUUUAAAAUCUGUUUAAGGAUCCACUGUUCCUAUUACGAUGUACAGUGCAUCUGUAGAAUUUUUCUUACAGAACAGGCAUCUCCAGGGCAUUAUUAUCACAAAGUUAUAAAUAAAGUACAGAAAGUUUUCAGUAUAUUUUCAAAACACAUGGUACUAGGAAUAGAUUAAGGAGUUUACUAUUCGUGAUCAAAGACAAUAGCUAAUGCUGCUGUAGUGGUGGUGAACAAAAGCAAAUUUUAAAAUGCUCUAUUAUUUCAUGCUUUAAAAAAAAAAACAAAAACAAACAAAAAAACAACUCAGUAUCAUCUUAGAGGUUAUUUUUUCAAGAACUAAUAAAAAAUACAAUGUAAUUAUUUUAAUACUUAAUUGUCACCCAAUCUGGUAAUGAAGGGAAAUAAAAAGCAUUAAGUCUUUCAGAAACUUUUUCUCCACAUAUUUACUAUCUUUUCUAUAAAUUCAGAAUCUGGUCUGUGCACUAUUUUUGGACUGUAAGCAAUCCACAGAUAAUCUGGUACUAGCAUUCAUGUCUGGAAAUUUAGUAUCUUUUGGCUUGUUUGACUGAACUUGCAUGAUAGUCCUGCUGGAUGUGGGUACUUAACACAUCACUAGUCCUGUUCAAAUAUUAUUCUGCGUGAUUUUUCUCUGACUGUCACUAAAAUUCAUUCUUUCUGUAAGGCUAUGUCGACGGUUUACGGGCUGGUCUGGCCCGGUUCCAUGACUAGUGGGGCGGAGGGAUUUUUUUGCAACAUCCGUGCCUCCGGAAAAGAGAAACAGGGGACCCCCCCCCAAAAAAAAAGAAUAAUUAAAAAAAAAAAAAAAACAGCAGCAACGAUCUGAGGAGAAACAAACUAAUUUACUAAAUACAGUAUUGGAAUGCACGAUAACACACUAUAAUACAAUAUAAUUCAAUGUAAUUGUUAAUAAAAUCAAACAUAAUUGAGAGAAGGAUUGUCCAAGAGCUAAAGGCCUUACACUAAUACUGAAGCCUUGUGUGCAGUCUGGAGCAGCAGCGAGACAAUCCGCAAGCGAGCAUGAGACGAGAAGAAAGGGAAGAGGACUCACUCAGGUCAGGUGACCUACAGGCCUUAUAUCUGUUCCCCUGAGCAGGAAUGGUAACUACUCGAACAGUCUUCUGGGGAACGUAGUUCUUCUCUUCUGGACAAGUACCCAGAACUAGAGCAUUUGCUCUCUAACUCCCAGUACACUGCAUGAUGUUAUGAUGUGGAAUACUGAUAACCAAAAAUCAUAAAACCAUGACAGGCUAUGAUCAUGGAAGAAAAAAAAAAUGGAACAGUAGAUGUCUUAGCAUAUUUUUUUUUUUACUGAUUUGACCAAAUAUUCACACAGAAAUAUUUCUAAGCAUUCGCUAACUGGCAGGCUAACAGUGCCUUUAUAUCCACUAAUACCAUCUCAUGGGACAAGAAUCGUUGCCGGACCUCACCUCCUCCCAGACUCUUCAAUGCUCAUUCUUUUUGAGUGACAGGCCUCUGCCCAUGUGUUACCCACAGCAGAACUCCCAAGAAAAUGCUUCUUUAAACCUGGUGGUGAGUCUACAGCAUCUUGUAUUCUGUAUUCCUGCAUCUAAAACUCCUUCUCAGAAGCACAUCCCUUAAAUUGCUAAAUGGCAGUACAUUUGAUUCUUUCUGGUAUGAAUGCCCUACAGCUACCACUUUUUGUCUGAGCUCUGAAGAGGCAUUUCUGUCUCUAUUAGCAUGGCAAGCCAAACUACAAUUUGUCUCUGCAUGAUGCUUCUCUAUGGUACUACACCACUGCACAACGACUCACAAUCUCUCAAAGAACCAUUUUAAAGAAAACUGCAAAACAUUUGUUCACCUGCAUCUCUCCGUAAAGCUUACCCCUGUGAUAAGCAUCAGAAACGUGCCUGCCUCAGGUGUGCCAAGCAAUAGUGCAGUAUCACAGAUCCAGCACUCAGCGGCCAUCUUUGUGUUUUUCACUUCCCUUUGGAGAUGCUGGUCAGUGAUUUCCUUCCCCUCCCAUUCCUUCCCACACUGGGUUUGCCCUGAGUUUUGACUGUAAAUCUUCAAAAUGGAAAAGCAAGGGUAUAACCUGGAGAUAGGCAAAGUGGGGCAUCCCUAAAUUAACAAUUCUAUUUCCCAUUCCAGAACUCUUAGUAUGUUCUUGGAAAUAUCUCUAAUCACAGUCUGGUUCUCUUCUUCCUUCGUUCAUUGAUUAUUUCAAGCAAAUUCAAGAUGAAAAUAUCAGGCAGUUAAACUGAGAUGUAUAUAAUAUCUAUGAAGAAGAUAUCCCCCCAAGUUCUAAUAAAGUCAGAGACACUUUUCCUGCUGGUUAGGUUCCACUCAGUGUAAGCAAGAAUCAGAAUAUGACCCUGUACUACAGUUGUUAGAGAAACCAAGAGCUGUUUAUCUUAACUACUACAUUAACUAAGCAUGAUUAUUUUUAAUUGAAUGAUUGUUGAAAGCAUUACAGGUGGCAUAAAGGAAUUUUUGUAAGCAGGAACAAAGGAAAAGGACCUGAUCCUUUAGCCACCCCAGGGAGACAGCUGAUGGUGUAUUUGCAGUUUGAGGCCUUAGAAGAGUUCUCAGUGAUGUCCUUAGAGCUUAGCUAACAGAUAAGAGUUUCCUAUAGUUCAUUUCCUAAGCUACUUCCUGCUGGUCUACAGUAUUACAUCCAUCCGUCUCAUCCUCCGGGCUUCUUUGUGUUGUUUUUUCACCUGCCAUACCUAAAGGCACACUACCGACCUCAUUUAAUCCUGAAGAGCAAGGAUGCUAAUUGAGUUGAAAAUGGUAAUGAUGCAUCUAAUUUUCUCAUGUCUGUGUGCUCCCCCUCCUUUCAGAACACCUGACAACACCUGCAUCCCAGAACAAGGGCUUCAACAUGUAUUUUCCUGUGUUGCGCCCAGCUACUCCCUUGACCUAUUAUCUGUGGCAAGUUACAGUGAAUCAAACAUGAUUCCCUCCACAUUUCUCUUCAUUCUGUUUCUGAAUAAGAGCUGAUGUAUGCUCAGGACAUUUUUGUAUUUGCUGCCACAGUUAAAGCAUAAUUAGCUACAUGAAAAAGAAGGGGGAUUAACCACCUCCACUUAGCUGAGACAUUGUCACCUUUAUACUUAAGGCUGCUAUUUGGUUUUUCAGGUAUUUCAAUUGCCAGUCAAGGAGCAGUUUAAGUCUGUAAUAUAAUAAUACUUGCAAUUACUAGUAAAUAACAUUUUACAGCGUUAACUAGCCUGUCCUUACAACAUCCUUUCCAGGCAGGCAAAUAAAUGUUAUUAUCCUCAUUUUACAAACACAUUGAUUAAGUGACUUGCCUAAAGGCCACACAUCAAUUUCAAUGUCAGCGCCAAGAUUAGCACAAAGGAACUUCUGCAUUGCAGUCCCAGGAAAAGGGAAAAAAAAAUAUCUGUAAUAUUAAGUGCAUCCUCCCCUAAAACAAGCAAUCACUUUUCAGACGCUCAGUCUAAAUAGUGUUUACCUGCUUUGCAUCCCCUUAAGUCCUGUGCUCCGCCCACCUGUUAAGUGCUGCUUGUUAAUGACUCAAAAUGGUUCCCAGCCUGCCGCUAGUAGGGGAAGCUUUUCCUUCACUUGCUAGUUUCAUCCCAGUCGCUGGCAGGUGCUGUCUCAAGAACCUGCGAAGCUUCCAGGCUUACAGCUGAACCUGUGCUUAGACAAGUGAGGAAGGCUUGUGCUGCUCCUUGAAGGGCAGCCUCAGUAUGAUCACGGAUUUGAAGCAGCAGCAGUUGCAGCAGGAGCACGAUUAGGAAGAAAUUAGAAUGAUCUUCCACCAUUUAAUAGAUCGUUGGCCUCUCCAACCGAGCACAUUUUCAAUUUCUAGGCUGUGUACAGCCAGCACAGUUGUCUUUCCUAUUGCUGCUGUAGCUACUGUUUGGAAAUUGUGGUAGCUGGAAGGCAGUAUUGGAAAUUGAGCCUUCAGCUCUAAAACACAUUAACAUCUCUAGUCCUCAAUCUCUUGAGCUACUAAGUAAAUUGCCCUAUUUCAAAGCACCUGCUUUUAUAUUUGGAAGGAAUUUUGGUUUUGAUCGUUUGUUUCAGACUGAGGCAUUAUGUCUCUGUUCCUUUCCUGACUGAUGAGCAAUGCAGACCUUACUGCAUACGUGUAUUUUAUGACGUGUGGAAGUAUAGCAAGUAACACUGUAGUACACAAAAAUCUAUUAAACACUGUAGAAUUUCCAACGUUAAAACCCUGCUAUGUUUGCAGGCAGUUAUUGCUUAGGGAAGGGAAAAAAAAAAAACAAAACAAAAAAACCAGCAGCAAUUGCUUGCUCCCCACCCCCCACCAUAACAUAUGUUUCCUACCUGUAAAGACAAAACAGAGAAAGUCACUCCAGCACUUUCAGCAGCUAAUUAAGGCCAUUCAUGUGUUAAGGGUGGCAAUGUUUUCUCCUGACUUAGGCACUGUUUACAAGAUCUUCAUGACUCAACUUCUAAAUGUGACAGAAAACCAAAAUAAUUGUGAAUCUUUUGAACUUCGGUAGCAUUGUUUGUCAGUGGUUUCACAGAUCUGUCAUUAAAGCCUACGGCAUCAUUUGCAAAUCCCUUAAUUUGACCUAGUCAUUGAAACUGAUACUGUGCCAAUGUCUGAAAGCAGAUACAUUGAAAAAUUGUCCAGCAUUUAUGAUAGAUACUGGUAUUUCAGACCAGAGUCCCAGGCAAUUAAUUAUAUUUUUAAUAAGCAUACAUAACAAAGUUAAAUUUAGAAGUAGACUUUGAAAUGGUUGCCAAGUUUUUAACUGAAGGUCAUUUGUACUUUUUUAUUUUUAUCCCAGGUGGAGAGAGUAUGCAUGUCUAGAUACUCAAACGAAAUGUGUAGACUUAAGUACAAAAUACCUCAAAUAUUAGCCACAUUAAUUACACGUUUUUUUCUUUCCCUUUGAGAGAUCAUUUCUUGCAUUAAAAGAACAAUGCUCAAUUGAUUGCUUGCAAACCAUCUAUAGAUUGCAGUAUCAGACACAUUCAUCAGGUUUACGCCUGUCAAAUUUUUAUGUUUGUUUUCAAAUUUUUAACAGCAAAAAAUAAAACAUAUUUAUAAAUAAAUGCUUAACUGUGUUUGUGUUUUUGGCAGUGUAUUGGCUUGGCUUCUACGCAUCUCUGUCAUCCUUACUCUUCCAUAUCAAACUGUGUCACUUAAAGAGACACAUUAAACCGUAAUAGAGGGGUACUCUUGCUGGUGAAAGAGCAAAUCGUGGCUUCAUGGCCAUAGAUGUGAUUGAGUUCUGAAGCCUGAUAAAUAUUUUAUCAUGACACAAUUUCAGAUGCUCAAGGGCUUCACAAUUUUAAUUGUGUUUUAAUUAUAGCACCUCCGUUCAAUUAUGUUCUCUGCCUACUUCAGAUAUAAGUACUUCAGUGUUUUAAAUGGUAUUUUGGCAAAACUCACCUGCAAGGCUGCUGCAAUAUUCGGGGUGUGUCCUGUAACCUUCAGCAGUAGUUUUGUAUGUAGUUUUACACACAAAUAUAUAAUCAAGAAUAAAAGAUGAGGAAGUACUACGAAAAGCAUUAAAAUAACAGAAGAUCAUGUGUUAGCAUGAAAAUGGCAUGUUUUUCUUCUAUUUAGCUUUGCAUUCUGCAGUACAAGUAGUACUAGUGUUUUGUGAGGCAUGUUAUGCUGCACAGCAUGAACUUCAUUUGUGAUUCCUUAAGUACUACCAUGAACACGACUAUUGAAGAAAAUAAGUUUUCUUAUAGUUACUUUUGUUCUGUAAUUUGUAUUACUGCACUUCUCUUAAACUCUAUAGCACCUCAUUGCUAAAAUUAAUUAAUUAAUUAAGAAUUAAUUUUGAGUAGGCACUUGGAUUCCAGUCUGCUAAGGGCUUAGAUCCAUGCUUAUCUUCUCAAACUCUUAACACUCUCACUGCUUUUUUUUUUUUUUUUUUUUUUUUUUUGCAUUUAUGUCUAAGAGCUAGCUUAAAACCGUACUACAUCAAUAAGACUUAAACAUUUUAUAAUGUUUUUCGCUCAAUUUUGGUACUCAGAUGUUCACUGACAAUUCAUCUCUUUCAUUCACUUCCAAAAUCUACUCCUGAUUUUAAUCAGUAUAUAACGUCAGUGUGUAAUGGAAUGUUCAGGUGUGCUUUCAAAACAAGUUAAAAUUACCUAGUGAAAGCCUUAUUUACAUUUUCAGAAGCUCUUACAAAUAAAAUUAUUUGUGUUUGUUCAGAAGUGCAAGAACUAUGGGUGAAACUGUCUUUGUUUCUGGUGCAAAAAGUCAGGCUAGAUGAUCAAAACACUCCCUUGUGGCCUUAAAAAUCUCUGAUGUGUUUUAAAGCUUACAAUUGCCACAUCAGAUCAGUGAAAUGUUAUCUUUGUUUCCAAAGAACAAGCCUCUGUGAUCAUUACUGCUCUGUUGGCUGAUCAUUUUAAAUUAACAUAGCACAAAACAAUUCAAAAAAAUCAAUUCAUAUUCUUAUCUCCAGAGUUACAGUUUUAAAUGUGGGAAAAAAAAUGGAGUCAGAAAAUGGGAUUUGCAUGAAUAAAAUGCCUUAUACCUCCCAACCACCUCCUCUAUUAUCUCAUGGUGCUUUUCAAAUAAAUGAUUCCAUGUAACUCAGAACUUCUAAAGGGAUUUGAAGGUUAUUGCAUUCCAUUCACUUCCAAGUAGAUUGGAUACUAAAAAUAAAAAGUAAUGACAGAGCUUACCUUUCCUGACUCUGGAACUGAAAUGGUAAAUAUUUAAUAAGGGAAACUCACUUUCCCAAAGUUUUGUUCAUCUCUGUCUUUCUCGCUAAUAAAAAAGCAAAAUGAGUUUCUAAGCAUAUAGCUAUUCUGAUACUAUACUCAUGGAUGAUCAUCUUUCUAUUGGACAAAUGCAAAAUCCCUGUCCUGCAUAAACGUGAGGAUUUUUUACUGAUGAGAAUAGCUCCAAUAAAGACAAUAAAGACAACUGAAAAUCCCAUGGGCAUAUAAGAUACAAUACCAUAACUAACUUGACCUGUUUUUAUCUACCUUACUAAAUGUCUUGGUAUCACUGAAACAUCUGCAAACGUCUUAUAUAGGUAAUACCAUAUAUUUUAAAAUGUAUGAUAUAUACAUCCGUGAUUAUUUCUAAGUAUGCUUCAAGUACACUUGAAAGUAGUGCACACAGUGGAGCAUUUCUGCUUUAGUCCAGUUUUCAAAUAUAGAAAAAUACAAAGGCAUCUAAGUUCUUCCUUUUCAAGAUCUAAAUAACUGAAUAUAAUUUGUUUCUAAUUUUGAUUGUUAUAAGACAUUUACCUAGAAGAAAACUAUUAUAACAAAUCAUAAUGUUUUGUGUGUUGCUCAAUGAACAAAAGAAUCUUUCUACUAGGGGCCAUCAUCCCAAUGAGACUCUAUAGCUCCUUUCGAAAAUCUCUCCAAUUUGCAUAGCAUUAUUAGCAUAAUGUAUUUGGCUCACAUAAAGAGAUAAAUAUGGGUGUGCCAGGAAGACUUCAUCAAAUAUGAAGUGAGUAUGAACAAAAACACCAAGCUGGAGAUCUCAGCUCCCUCUCAACUCAUCUUCCCAUGCAGGCUCUCACUCAGAUCAUUGAUCUCUCUCUCAGUGCUUUCGAUGACCCCUGAUCUUUCUUUUUUUCUUUUCUUAGCCUUAAAAGUGAAAACAUUGUUUUGAAGAAAAUAGCUGGAAUAGGAAAAGUAAGUAAAAGUCUCAACAAAACUCUAUUGAUCCUAACAGUUUUCUGCUAAAAGCAAAUGCCUAUACCAUUUACUCUGGAAAAUUGAAUGAGUUCUAAAAAUGGCUUACAUGUAGCAGAGAUAUUCUUUACGACUUUCCCACUUCAUUUAAAGGUAAUAUGAGCUGGGUCACAAGUGAUAACAUUAUAAUAUCCUCUGGGAAUCAGAUUACCUAGGAACUUCUUACCUGGCCUUUCCUUGGCAAUGCAACCGAGACAAAGCCUUGGCACAGAAAUGGUUCUCACAUAAAUCUGCCUUGUGUGCCACAAGCCAGCCACAUGCCCCAUACAUGCUGUUCACAUACCACCCAUAUAUAUUAUAAUAAGAAAAAUUGAGGUUCUAGGUAGCACUCAAAAGUGCCAGAGUUUACAAGCACACAAAACCACCCCACAGAUAGCAUAUCCACUGCUAUUGGAGACAAACUGACUUUACAUUUCCUUUUAUUAUGUAAAACUUCAACAGGCUGUUCAAAAAUCCAAACUGUGGAUUUACGACACUUGAGGAAAAGCUUUGUGAAACACAAGGACAGAUUAUUAGUUGUCUCCUACUUAAUAACCACUCAGUUUUUGUAAACUGCUGAAGUUUUACUUAGUUUGUAACAUCUAUCUUAGCUAACAGAUUGCUGGCUACUUUUUCGCUCUUGAGAAACUAAAUUUUGACACAAGAUGGUGAAUCACUACGUAUUGAUGUUGCUGUUACAGAUUACUACAUAUCUACUUUUUUUUUUUUUAAGAAAAGAAAAGCAAUGUUUGUUUUCAGUUUGAAAAGGGAAAAAGAUUUUUUUUUUCUCUUUUCAAAAUAUUCCCAUUACAUCUGUUUCUGUACACUCAUUUUCUUGCUUUACAAUUUUUACCAUUAAUUCUAGAUUACGUUCAGGCUUACAAUGUGAAAUAGUGACUUUACAGCAGAAACACAUUGACUUCUACCACUUCUUUUUGUGGCUACAGGUUCAUUUUACCCUCCAAAAUAUCCAACCUACAUUAUAAUUGUUAGAUCUGUAUUCCUUGGCUAGGAAUCCAACAUUUUAUUUCUUUAAUCUCUCCCAAGACAAAGUAGUGAUGUUACCAAAUUCUUCCAAACCUUGCGAACUACUCACAACAAUAUCAUUAUUGUUAUUACUUUUAACUCUUCCUUACAAAAAUGGGUGAUUUGGGAGUCCAAAAGUGUUAGAGGUACUGAUACCAGUUCCUUCUUUCAGCCUAAUAGUCAGUCCUUCAGAUGAAGACAAGAUUGGUUCUUGUAUUUCCUGAUGGAAAAUUUUCGGUAGAGCUAAUUAAAUAGUCCCUGUAGCUCCAGGUUAGAGCAUGUCACAAAAUAUGUUCUGUUGUGUUGAUUCUUUUUUUUUUUUAUUAUUAUUAUUACCAUUUAGAUGUUUGAAAUUGUAAGUGUAAGAUAAAUGCAACUUUUUUUUUUUAAACUUCUGAUUCAGCAGGUAUUUUUAUCAAGUUAUCUCUACAUCUCCAAGCAAGUAAUACUGUGCCUCAUUAUGUCUAUGUGCAAAACGAGGAAAAAAAAAAAAAAAAAAAACCAAAAAACACUAGAAUGACUUUUAGGAGACCAAGGAGAAAAUUCAAUCCCUCUUUCCCCCAGUGUUGCUUGAUUUGCCCCAUCUCCUGGACCAACUUUCAAAUAGGUUUGGUUAUUGCGUGCCUGCUGAUGUGUAUUUGUUUGUAUUGUCUUCUCAGGAAUUUAAUUUCACAUGCUACCAACACAAUCGUGUCACUGCAAUUUAGCAUGCAUUUUGAUGAUGUGUUCUAUAUCUCAUUAAAGUCUCGUCUCUUUAGCCAAUACCAUAUGCUACUCAUCUGUAGAAAAGCUCUUAAACAUAAUGAAAAAGGUAUAAUCACAAAUGAGAAGGCAAAUGCUGACAAACAACCCACAGGUAUUCAAGUUCCAUGACACUACUGAAAGAAAAUAUAGUGCAAAAAGAAAGCCUUUUAAAUUUUUUAGAAUCGUUAUCUGACAGGAAAAAAAUGUUGAGCUUGGAGGUACUCUUCAGUUACUCUAUGCAACUCCAUUGCAGCAUUCUCAGAUCACGAGACAAUGAUGUACCAAUGUAUAUGUAGGAGGAAGAUUUGUUUUUAACAGAGAUAAAAGUUUCAAGUUAUUGAUAUAUAAUACUGAACAAUUUGUUUUCAAAAGUGCUAAUUUAAAGAUUAAAAUAUUUUGAAAAUAUUUUGAGACUAUUAUACCUAGUUUUUCUUUUCCCUCAGAUUUUGAUUUUUUUGUUUUUUUGUUUUGAGCCACAAUGGGAACUUUAUAUAUAUAUAUAUUUUUCUGUAUAUAAUCAUUAUGAGAACAGAAUAAAAGAGUUAGUGGUGAUCAUCUGUAUCAAGAGUAGUAGAAGAGAUAAGCCAAGUUCUGACCUCAGACGUGAAUAUAUGACUGUCAGUAAUCAAAUUAAAGUGCAUCUGGGUUAGGUAAGAAAUCGAGUUUAGAAAGAGGACCAGAGAGACAAUUUCUAUCUACUCAGUAUCACUACUAAUACUUAAAUUCUUAAAGUUAGAGAGAUGCCAGCCCUGAAAGGACCUCUAUACACAUAUGAUGCUAGUUUUACCGUAAAGAUGCACUGAGACCCUAAAAGUUUUGCCUAGGCACAUGAAGGCCUAAUCCCAGCCUUCUGGUCACUGGUCUCAGGGAAGCCAGGACAAUGCAGAAGAGAGCUGUGCCUGGGCAUUGCCCAGAGCUGAGGACACCAUGACAAGGAAGUGCUAGAAACACAGUGACGAUGGCUAGGGAGGCUGCCUAGUUGAGCACGUAAUCCAGAGUGGAGAACACUUGGAUGAGGCUUGUGAGCAAAUGGUUGAUGUUCACCCACAGUUUUGUUCCCCACCUUUGGGAAAUAAAAGCCAAGCACAGGUUUUUGUAAGCAGGACUCCAGGACUUGACUCCAGUCCAUCUCUAAUUAAAUCUAAAUUAAAUUUCACCAAGCAGAAUUACCAGGGCCUAAACAGACCUGGUGAUAAAUCCUUCUUCCUGGUGCUGACUAGUAUUCACUAAAGACAAAGAUCCACUAACGAGGAACGGUUUUGUCUGUUCUUGGUAUGUUAAUUCAAAUCAUAAGAACUAAGCUAGUAGGUUUCUUUGGAUGGACAGUAUAUUGCAUGUGUUCAUUUAGUCACAUAUUUUAAUUGUACAGAUCAUGAAAUAUAUUUGGAAUUAUAUUUGGAAUUAAGAGUUCUUAACAUAAGAUAGCCAUGUAUGCAAAAUCAAAGCUUUUAUACAUUUCUUUGGUAACAGCUUCUUUAAAACACACUCAUAUCAUGGACUUUCUCCUGUCAAAGCUCUGUAAAUGGUUGCUUUACUAAUGGCUACCUUAGUCUCACUAUUUAUUUUUCCUUUUUUUCUGAGAGUAUAAUCUUUUUUAUCUCCACCUUCCAUCUGGAAAUAACCUGCACUGAAUCAAAUGCACCUUUUUUAAAGUGCAAUUUUUAAUUAAGCAGUCUUUUUCAUUUAUUAUUUUUUCUCCUAGGAGGCUCUGAAGCUUACUCUGUUUCUGCCUGAGUAUACAUAGAUUAUUGGCUUAUUUUGUCUUUUUAUUUUUAGACUCGCUUUGAACAAACUUUGAUGGCAGUAUGAAAGUUAAUAAGGAUCAUAUGAUCCUUUCCUUCCAGCUGUAAAUGUAUGAAUAAUGGUCAUUUUGUGAAUCAAGCUCUGCAAUAUUCAGUUAAAUAAAUAAAUAAAUAAAUAAAUAAUACCUUUUCAUUAAUCGUUGACAACAAAUUAGUAUUCUGAAAACAAAAUGACUGCAUUCCUAGGACAAUAUCACUUUCUUCAUGAAAUUUAGUAGGUGACUGAAAAUUUUAUAUGCCGCAGUUUCUGAAUGCCCAGCUUAAAAUUGAAAGGCUCAGAAUAAUAGGAGAAAACAAAAUUGUCUGAAUGUAGUUUAUGUAUCAAUAUAAUUCUGUGCAUUGUGUGGUGCUUAGAUAUACAAUGAAACUUGCAGUCCCAGACACAAUAAAAGGUCAUUUCUGUGGCUUCCUUGUAUCUCAGUCUUUCUUACAGUCUGUGGAGAGCAUCUGCUUGUUCUUAGUCCAGGCUGUUUGAUAGUCUGAAGCUCUGGAGCAAUACUGCUUAGUAGUCAUUAGAAGUUAUUAUGGAUUUAUUCUAUAAUAAUGAUUAAGAAAUAUCUAUUCCAGAUGUCUGCACAAAGCUUUAUGUGCUAAGUAGAUAUACUGUGAAUUAAUAAAGCUAUUUCUCCUGAAUGUUGCUACCAACAGAAAAGGAGCCAAUUAAUUCCACACAACUUUUAUUAUUAUUUAUAAACUGAUUCUUAAAUAGAAAUGCUUACAUCUGCCUCUUGCUCCAGAUGGUGCAAUUUAGCUGCCUAUGUUACUCAUGAAUCGUCUUUGGUUUUAAACAAAUUCUUAACUCAGCAACUGUCUUAUCAAUAAUUCUCCAUUUCUUACAAUUGAAACCUAAACUGCACUGAUGCUUUAAUUCUCAGAACAGAGAAUUUUCUGUCUCGUGGGUCAAAAGUACAAGGAAAAAAAUAUUUUUAAUAUUCCACUGAAGCGGUCACAGUUGUAAAACUGCCUGGUACUGUACCCUCAGGUUACUAGCAAAAAUCCAGGCAGCAGAUUGAAUCCAAAAUUCUCAUGAGGUCUGACCACAUGCAGAUACUGGGACAGACGUUUUAUUAUUAUUAUUAUUAUUAUUAUUUUCCUAGCACAUCAUCUGGUCAUUGAGUUUACAUUUAUGUUCCGGGCCCUAGACGUACUAUUUCCAGCUAAGAACAAAUGCUUCAGCUAUAUAACAAUGCUAAGUCCUUGUCCUAAAAGCUGCCCAGGAGGAAGCAAUGAGCAGGCUUCCAGCUCUCUGCCAGGAUGGUCAGGUGCUGGAUGCUAUUUCUGUAGUUAAGAACCAUUGUGGGUGCAGCUGCUCCGAGAUACUGAGGGGAGGAGGGAACAAAAAAAAACAAAACAAAACAAAGCAUAUCAAAAUCAAUACGUAGGCAUUAUCCUGUAGGAAUGUAAAAAGUGCAGCAAGUAUAGUCUGGCAAGGUCCUAGCAAAGGUUCAACCCAGAUCCACCAUAAGUGUAGCCCUGAUAGAGACCUUCAGAUGUGAUUCAGCUGUCUACUGGAAUAAUAAGCAGAAAUGACUAAAAUACACUUCUGCUAUAUUAUGCCAUGGCUGUAAUUCUUGCCUUGAACCUUUAUUGCCAGUUACAUGUUUUGAAAUGAUUCUAAAAGGUAGGAUUUAUUUAGUUAUAUUAAAUAUAGGAUUAAUUCAAUUUGCCUUUGUAAAUCAUAUUCUUAAAAACCAACUUACACUGAAUUCAAAAUGGACAAUAUUCUUGAGACUUUCAGAAUAAAAUAGUUCUGUAGAGUUUGAGCUAAGCCCUUCAAAUUAGUAACAUGUAACUAGUCAGAUUAAAAACAAAGCAAGCAAUUGCUUUUCAAAUUAUUAUUCUAAAAAUGGACUGGAAUAAAAAUAAAUAAAGAACUUAAAUCUAUGCAUUCACAGAAUUUUAUUCAUGAGUGAUUUUGAAGUCAGUUUGAAAGCUAAAAUUUCAUUUGAAAGGUAAAAUUGAAAAUAGGGUAAUCUUGUAUUUAUGAUUUCUAUGUAUGCUACGUUUUUGGUUUUUUUUUUUUCCUUUUUUUUCCCCCAAAAUUAAGAAAAACACUUGAAAUGGCUUAAACCUGAUUUGACUUACUGCUUCUGUACCUCAGCUGGUAUGUCAUUUUAUUAUGAAACCUUCCUAAGAGAUUUAAAAGCUAUUCAUAGCUUAUUUAUACUUAGAUAGAAGAGAGUAGCCAUAACCUUACUGAUAAUAAUCGAUCUUGUGGUCAUGUAUUGAGUAUCUGAUUUUUUCUUUACCAGAGUGGGCAUUACCUGGGACUUGACCUGCUUUUAACUGAAGCUACUAGCAUAGCUGCUCCAAAGAGAUCUAAACCAAGGAGCAGAGCUGAUGUCUGUGGGAUGUGAAAUUAAAAGCCAUGUGACCAUAGGCAACAAGCUAACAGGAGAUAUGGGAUUAUAUUUUAGACCUAGGUGAUCAAAUUUUAGGUCUGUUUCAAGUAAUCUUCCUAUGACUAAGCACUUAACCCAAACUACUGAAAUGCCUUGGUGCAGAUUUGAUAAUUCUUUGGGCUUUGUGGUCAUGGUAUCUUUGUUAGUCUUAAAGCAGUCUCUCCAAGCUCUUCUAUCUUGUUUGAACAGUGACUGCAAGUUAAGGGGCACUUCCAGGAACUCUUUUUAGUCUGCUCUUGACCAUUUUUUUUCUUUCCACCUCUUACAGGUGACACUAUAGGAAAGCACUUUAAGGAAUGGAGAACCAGUACAGCAGUGGGUAGGACAUUGUUCUCAGCUGCGAAGUGCAGGUGAGGGCACUCCUUGUCAGCUCAGAUGCAAUGGUUAACCACCUAAGAGCUCUUCUGCUCCUCUUCCUUGGGAAGCCACAAUUCACAGCUGAGGCUGAAGACACAUAAUUAAUUCUUUGCUGUAGGGGACAUUUAACCUACUGAUAAAGGCAGACACUUAUGCUUGGGACAGUAAACUCAGAAUACCUGAAGUCAAAUAGUCUUUGCAAAACCAGUUUAAAUUAAGAUUAUACACUAUGUAGGCUUUUUAUACAGCUAACAGAAAAAAUGAAGGCAGAAUUGCUUUCUGAAGGAAUAUAAGCAGUAAUCAUAGCAGUUCCUCUCUGUCUGCAUAUGUUACAAUUAAGAAAAUUGGAUUUCCAGAUUCUUUUCUCAACCCAGCAGCUAGACACAGGCUGAAAGAAUUUUGGCUAUGUCUCAUGUCGGACACAGCUUUUAGAAAAUAAGUGAUUUUUUUUUUUCUUACUGUCAAUCUUCAGGUAUUUAAGAGUUCUUGAAAAGUUAGCAUCCUGUCACUAGGGGGGCUUUCAUUAAUUUGAUGUGCUGUGAUACCCAGCACAGAAUUAAAGGUGGGAAAUUCCAUCCUUCUUGUGAGAUUGAGGAGUCACAUCACCAAAAUGAAAGUACAUUUAGCAAAGCACCACCCGACUUUGCUCAGUAUGUUCACACAGUAUCAUGUCAUCAUCAUUUGGCAGAUAUACAGUUUUAAUAAAUCUGCUAAGCUGCCACUUCAGGCCAUUUUCUCUAAAUCUCAAAGAUCCAUGUGUUUAAAACUGAGAAACUGAAAAUGAUGAGUUGCUUGGUUUUUUUUUUUUCAGUCUACUUUUUUUCAACACAUCUUGACAGUGAACAUUUUACAGUCAAUAAAUGAUAUCUAAAGCUACCACAGGGAACCAGAGUCAUCCCAGAUACAAAUAGCCAAUUAUAAAAUGGAGCUCAGAGUUGAAUAAAUUAUUUUCUGACCCUAUAGGUGAUAAAGUGAUAGCCAACAGCACAAGUUUCAUUAUCCAUAUCUUUAUCACAGCUCAAAUGACUGAUAAUGUCAACGAUUACUUUGCUCAGAUAUUCAAAGACAAAUUUUCGGUAUGAAUCUAGCAAACUACAUUUUGAUCGCUUUGCUCCAGGUUUCUAAGACAGAGACAUAAACACUCUGAAAGACCUUACAGCUGUUGAUUAUGAGCUUGGACAGAAUUAACACUCAUACAAUAAUAAGACUUGUCCAAAUGAGCAUUAGGAUCAGAUACAGAUCAAGCAUGAAGCAAUUGUACCUAUCAGCCUCAUUAGCUAACCCUGACCAUCCUUCAUACUUCACAGAAGAACUUUCUGCAUUUUAAAAUACCAUUAAUGGGAGGGGGGGGGGGGGGAAGGGAAGUGUUUAGGAUUCCAAAUUAAUUGCUUCCACAUAAUAUUUUUCUAAUGUAUUUCUGUGAGCAUUGCAAAUAUCUGUUCAUAUUUCAUUUGGGCUGCUUUCCAAACCAUCAGACCCAUUCCUACAUACUACAAUACUGUAUCAGGUUUAUUUUAUACUAAAGGAAAAGUGCAACAGAGAAAUGCCCAGGGACAGCUAUUUUUUAGAAGUGACAGUUAAGACUUUGUUCAUCUUCUCAGCCAGUGGAUUCCUCCCAUUUAUUCAUGUCCCAGCAAAAUUUCCACUAUUACUCCCAACACACACAACUUCUAAUCAUUCAUAUACGAGAAAGAAGCAUUUCUCUGUAGUCAUUCUGCUUUGGUUACUGAGUCAUUACGAUUAGAGAGUUACUCUACGCAGUUCAAAAGCCUAUCAGGUAGAAGGAAUGGAAAUGAUAUACAAUAAUUGAUCAAAAGAUGGAAAUCGUGUAUUUGAAAUUCCAGUGUUUUGACAUUUAGUUUUUCAUCGCACUGAAAUGAGAAGUAAAUUUAACAAGAUUCUUUGCAAUAAAGAAAUUACACAAAACAUUGGGAAUCAGGGGAGGGGCUCAGAUAUUUUUGUUCAUUUGUUUUAAAAAGUAUUUACUAAGGGCACAGAAUCCUGCUGCAUUGUGGUCAAGAUAUCUCCUAGGUUAGGAUUUACAGCAUAGCAUGUAGAGAGAAAAUUUUAUUUUCCUGUGAUUAUUUUUUAUAUACAUAAUAUAUUUUUAUAUAUGUAUGUAUAUGUUUGUCAGAGCAAGAACUUCAUCAUGUAUGCAUCUUUUAAAUCCCAGACCACUCCUGUAGUUGCCAGGCUACACAUCAUUAGAGCCCAUAACUUUCACUGUACCCAUUUCAGCUCCUGGAAAACUAUAGGCUGUAAUGACUUGAAGGGAAGCAUUUUUCAAUAAAAUUUCAUCUAUCUUUAGCAGAAUAGCUUCUAUAUCUUUCUAGAUAUUGCCAAAGAGUGGGAGAACCUAAAUACAGUAGAAAGUGUUUUUCUGAUGUUACAAGACUAUAAAUAGGACAGUGCAGCAUGAGGAAUGAUACCCUAAAAUGGGAAGCUGAGCUAUUAUUUUAGGUAUUAUACAUGAAAAUGUCCCUUCUGGCUUGCCUCCAUUUGUGAGAAUGAGCCAUUUCAAUGCCCGCUUAGGCCUUUCAGUCUAUGAUCCUGCUUUUCUAUGAUUUAAAAUAGUAAAACUUUGACAUCCUUUUAAACUGCCAGUUCCUAACUGGCAAUGCUUUAUGAAUACUCUCUUCAAGAGACAAUUCUAAGAAGAACAGAACCAAGAAGUCUGCCAGAGAAAUAGAAUUAUGUCUAAAUCUUGGGUACUCUGUGAUGUAAGUUACUGAAAAAUGAAAACAACCUCAUGGUGCACAACAAAUGAGGUGUGAAGGAUUGGUAGAAAGAAUGAAAGGUAGUAUACUACUGUAAUAAUUCCAACAGUUUAAGGACAGCCUGUGAACUGAAAGUGCAUAACAGUUUAAGUAAGCACAAAGUUUGAAUGUCAAGAAAGGUCUUACCUAUGGUCCUUUAGAACAAAAGGCAUACUUCAUCUAUUAAUAAAAGUUUGAUCUUCAGCAUCAGACUUCAAUCAUAAGGCAGGACUGUCAUUGAUAUUGAAAGUCAAACAGUAUAAAUUAGUUUGCAUACAUGUAGAAGACAAAACAAAAGAACAAACACAGAUUUCCCACUUUCAUUCCUACAUAAUAUCUUUGCCAAAGCAUCAAGAUGCUUUUUUUUUCCUGAAAAAAAAAAAUCACUGUUGAUCACUUAUCCUUACUUAUUGCCUGGCGUAUGUAUACAAAAGCAGAACCUAAAGGUUCACUUAAAUAGAAACAACAGAAUGUCUCUCUCUACCGUGCUACUUAUCCCGUGUCUAAAAUGGGUACUGGCACAUACUCUGAGGUCCAUUUAUUUUGAGGUCCCUGGAAGCAUUAGAAAGCAAGAAUGUCCUGCUCAAUGCAGAUAUUGUUUGAGUGGCUCUGUGAGCUGCCAGGUGCUUGGUGAAGGUGAGGCUGGCAACCAAGGGUUCCACUUCUAACUGUAUUCGGGUCAUGACUUGGCUAUACUUCCUCUUAACAAUCAGUCAUGUUGGUCAGUGCCCUCCAGUUGGUGGUAGGCUUUAGAGUGUAUCUAUUACAUAUGCAUGAGGUUUGGAUGAUUGUUAGAGGGCCUUGCAAAACAUGCAGUAAGGUGUUUGUUUGAGAGCAACUCUUGCACAUGGGGCAAGAUAGACACAUCUAUGCAUGAGUUCCACCGUUAUCUUGACACAUGGGACACAAGGAUGACAGAAAACAGGAGUGUGACAGCAGUCUUCAAGGUCAUCAAACAACCUGGUUUUCAAAUGAAGGCUCGAGGAUGUAGCAUUGUCCAAAAAUGAAAAUAUCAGAAGUUCCUGAUAUAAAUAAUUCCAAAUUUAGUUCAGAAGUAGAAAAGGAUAAAAGAGGAGUACAUAACAUCUGAGAAUUAGGACAUAUACUGCCAACCCCACCAAAGUUACACUAAAAAAAUUACUUGCAAACAAGUAACUGCUUGUUACUUGCUGGGCAGUGAGACUGUUCCCAGUCUGCUCCCCUUAUUCCAGACACUGAAAUAAAGCAAAACUAAAACGUCUUCUAAAGCUCUCCAUUACGAAUCAGGAGCUUUCAGAUAGCUUAGAAGCACUUGUUUGCAGCAGCUCAUUUCUCAUAAAAAGCUUGUUGCCACUCUAGGGAGGAGUAAAAUCACUACUGAUGACAUUCAAAUCAUGGUCUGCCUUCUCAGCAAUUAAUUUUAAAUAUGAUUCAUACUCCAUUAUGCUCUGGAAACCAAAGAAAUUAUCCUUUAUUGUGUCUAGCCAUUUUUCAUCACUAUGGACUCAUAAUGACCAAUUUUACUCUUAUCUGUUAUAAUAAGCUUGAAAAUGUGCAAAAAUUAACCCGAAUGUUUACAUUUCCCUUUAAUUCAGCUUCAUAAGGAUUUCCCAGUGUAAAUAUACAUUUACACAAUAGAAUAGAAUUAUUAGCAUGUAACAUAUGUAAACAGCAUUAGCUUUUAAAUUGUUUAAAUAUUCAUGUUUGUAGAUUAGAAACAAGUUGGGUCAAUCUUCAGGGUUGGGUCCAACGCUACUGAACUUUGUCCUACUUACACAGAAAUCCAAAUAAAAGCAUACAUUUUAAUGAAUAUCUAAGCCAGUUUUAGGCUAUUUUAAUAGCUGUGGAGUGAUGUCUGAAAAUGAAUGGGUUUAUACCGUUCUUCCUCUUUUACAACACCAAUUUUUAGUUAAAGAUAAAAAAUAAAAGAAAGGUCACAGAGAAAAGGUCCAGGCUGACGUUUUCAGAAAUCCUGAUGCAAUUGCUUGUUUCAGCUGUGUGACUUUAAUAAUCUGCUGUCUCUGUCACUCAAAAUCUCACCUGUAAAACUGAGGUAUUUUUCUCCAAACAGAGCAGGUAUGCUGCAUGAAGUGGAGACACUCCUUCCUUUACCUGUUGGGGACAGGAUGUAUCCUCUUCCCUUGGGAGGCAGGUGCAGCUCUGCAUCCCAAACCAGGGCCAAAUUCUUCCUCAGAAGCCUACAUGAGAGGUUACUCUGCUGUAGUUCUCAUUAAGCUUCACUCACUGUGUGCACAGCAGCUGAAUGCUGCUUUCAGUCCAUGUCCUGCCUCCCACCCAGACCAGCCCCAUGCUGGCUAGGGGAUGCAGGAUUGAUACCACGGGGCAGCAGUGGUCAGCACACAACAAGGGAAACACGGCCUGACUCAUCCACUGGAAUAUUGCUCAAGGAAAGGAGUUAUGGCAUAACAAAACUUAUAAAUACCUGAUUUGUUUUGCUUUUUGAAUAAGGGUUACCACCCUUACCAGGUGGCAAUAGCAAAUGCCAUGGAGCUCAUACAGCUUGUCACCAGUAGAGCAAGUCCCACACCCCCCAUGAAUACAAGUUUCAGAGAGCACACUUCCAGCUUGAUCACAAAAAUUUGAUCUUAAAUUAAGCUCCCAACUUAACGGAGGGUAACUGGGGAUGUUAUUCCUAUUUUUAAAAUGUUACAGACGUUGCAAGGAAUGAGGGACAAGGGAUAGGUGUACAGGGCUCAGAUGCCCCAUCAGUGUCAGGGGGCUGCAGGGCUGUUUGAGACAAGGCAAGGACUGCCCCAUGCUGGACACAGACAGUUCGAGCCAACUCCAAUGGCCCCAGCACAGGGCAGGGUUGGGCCCAGCAGCUGCCCUGGGGUGAGGGCAGAAUGGGAGAGUGAGAGCGCAGCUGGGAGGGAAUUUGGGCUGAGCCAAGGUUAACCCACAGCAACAGACCCACAAGUUUUAAGACAGUUCCUAAGUAAAGGUACUUAGAAGAUGUACGUAUAGUCUGAAAGAUGCACAGAAAGAGCAUUAAUCGAAAGACUGACAGAGCAAGGACCAACAAAUGAGUUUAGGGUACUCUACAGAUACAGAGUCCAAUGCAAUAAUGGCUGCACUGCAUUAAUAACUGCAUGAAGCAACCACACAUAUGGAAAGCAAAAAAAUAAGGCAAGUUAGCUAACAAACUUACGAAAAAGCAGAGAGGUGCUUCUGAAGGAGACAAUCCCAUGGAAAGGCCAAGGGUUGUUCCCUUUUAUGGUCAGCUUUCUCUGCAUUUUUGUAAACUGCAUUUGAUUAUAACAGAAGAUAACUGAUGCAGAUUAUACAUUCCUAAUGAAAAUAACAAGGCAUCAAAUACUAGCUACUUGAUUAAGCAAAAGAAUGGUAAAACCAUGUAAUUUUCUUCAACCAUUAUUCUUAUAAUUCUAGCAUCUACCUGAUGCUAGACAUUUUCAGUUAUGGCCUCCAAUGUCAAACUUUCACUUACACUUUCCACAUUUCUCAAUUUUUUUAAAAUAUUUUUAAGGUAUGUUUGCACCAUUUAAAGAAAAAUGUUGAAGAUAUUGAAUUUGUCUCGAAUAAAUAAUCUAAAUUCUCACUUAAAAUUGAUCCCUUUUUGACCUCUGACUUGUCAGAGGAUGAGUAAUAAGCUGACAAAAUGCCUGUGCUUCCCAAGUCAUUUUUUGAUGGUCCCCUGACCAUUCCUAUCCUGCUAUAGAUACCUACCUUGCUUAAAGCCAAACAUCUUGAUCGUAAGUCAAUUAAAAUAACACCAGAGCAAUAAAAAAUAACCUGCAGAAACCAGUGAAGUCAAUUUAAUUGCCAAGUAGAAUUCCUGAGUUGGAAAACAGUACACAGAUUUUGUUAAUAAAUCUGUAAAUAAAGAGAAAAGAAAGGAAAAGCAAGCAACUAGGGUACUGCAUAGACACUUUCCCCUCACCUUUUUAAAUCCUGCCUCAAAUGAAUGAUACAAUUAAAAUGAAUUCUGAAGCAACACAACAUGAAUCUAUCUAUGAAAUUUAAUGUCCUAAAGAUGGUUCAGUCACUUGAACAAGACCACAAUGAGGGAAAAAAAUGUUAAUCUAAUUGUAAAACUUCUGACCAUUAAGUUAUUUACGUUGCAGGUAUUUGAUGCGUCUCUUUGCAAAGCUUUAAACGUGUAAUCUAGGAAAAUGGUUGUUUUUUUUCUUUUCUGUAAAAUGGCUGAGAUACUUGGUGGUAAGACAUUAAAAUGAAUUAUAUGGAAGUUGAUAUGUAGUAACAUUAGAUGCAGUUCAGCUGUUGAAAUUGUAAGCUGUUAAAGAACACUUUUCUCAAGCGAUUGACAUCUAUUUCCAGAACUGUAUCUUUGAGUAAUAUGCACGGGUAGGAAUCAUGCUGAAUUUUCUUCCACGAAGCAGCUCAAGCAAAGAUAUUCAGAUACUCAUUUAUAAAGUGACAGCUAGGAUCUCAGCAGGUUAGAAAGCCACAUGCUACAAAAAAAUUUACUGUAUAGAAACUGACCUAAGGAGGACUCUAAUUCCUGAAAAAUAUAACCAGAAACCACAUUCUACGUUGGCUUGCACUUAAUAUUGAAAGGGAGAAAUAUAGGACAGAGUAUGUAUGCACAGCAUAGUGCAUACAUUGUUUUGUAUGAGUUUAUUGUAUUUCAUUGUUUCCUUUUACAGUGGUCUUCAACAAUGAUCACUUUGGAAUCAGUAUUUAAUUUAUGAAAUACACACAACUCCAUAGAAACGAUGCCACAGAUUUCAAACAGCAUUGGAUCAAACUUGUGAGAUAACUGUAUUUUAACCUUGAACUGACCCCGCUCCUGCUCACUGUAUGAUCUGCUUUGUCUUAACCCUAUCGUCUUUAGUACUUUUGAAAGUUCAUCUGUGUCAACAAGGCAAAAGCAAAACUCUGAGAACAGCUUUAGUUCUUUUUCUUUCCAUGUCUUACUACAAAAAAUAAAAAUAAAAAAAAAAAUAAAUUCCCUGUGCCUGUGCUAUUUCUCUUGUUAUUACAAUUUACUUGAAGAUCAGUGCAUAUCUGCAUAAGACUCUUAAAUUGCUAAACAAACAAACAAAAAUUGAAAAAAACAUAGAAAUAGAAAUCUUCUAUAGUGCUUUUAUCAAAGCAUUUCCACAGAAAUGAUGCAUAUCUAGCUCCUAUGGUUCUUAACAACUUUAGCUCUUUAUAACCUUAGCUCUUUCAGGAUGUGAAAACAGUAGUCAUACUGCAGCAUAUGCUAGAGAGCACCCCAAUCUGUCCUAGGAUGCCAAAAAGGGGGAGAAAAGGAAUCCCCAACUAAGAAAACUUAUACAUUUUACUGAAUGGGAAGCUUAUUGUAGAGUUUUUGCUAAGCCAUUACUAUGGCUCUCUCACUUUGAAAUAGAACAUAAAAGGGUUUCAGCAUCAUGAAAAUCAAAAUACAGCCACCUGUUUUUGACAAUUCUCCCCCACACACAGAAAGUACAUUUAUUCUUUAUAUGCGUAUUUGUUUUGCAUGCUGUGGCAUUCUCUUACCAGACUUCUCAGUUACAGAAACAUGUCAGUUAAAAAUUAUUUUUACUACUCGCAAAUGCAUAUUUCAACUGGUACAUGGAACCAUUAAAAGUUUUGCUACACAGCAGCACCUGCAGAACUAAAUAAUUUUCUGCUCCUACUGUGAAGAGAUACCUCUAUUAUUGUCAGUGUGGUAUGGUAAACAUUGUAAUUCUGAACAUGCCCAUGGUACUGUGUGGCUGAUACUGUUGGAAUGCUCCAUGCCACAGAUCCUAUGUAUCAGCCAUCAGUCACUUCUAAUGUCAAUCUGUUGCUUUCUCCUGGAAAUAACUGAUAUAAUCUCACUGUAGUUUCUAUUAUAAGUCCAAUUUGUCCAUGCUCAUUAUGCAUAUAAACUCCUUUGCAUCAGAAUGAGAAUAUGAUGAAGACAGACAUAUUGAUACAUACUUAUCAAUACAUACACCCAAAUACAUGUUGUCUCUAUAAAAGCAAUAAUACAAAUGUAUUAUAUUCAGCUUUAAACAGAACUUUGGUAAUGUAGUUGUAGAUAUAUUGCAUAUUGCUUUUGGCACUACUAAAAAUAAGUCAUUUGGAUUAACCAUUUUCAAGAAGUACAUUUUAUAACUGGAACAUAUUUAUUCAAGUUCUCUUUUGGAUUAAUGCAAUUUGUCUGAGAGCAUGCACUAAUUUCUGUUCUCAGCAUAGCCUUGGGAGGUUAAAAAUGUUAAAUAUGAUUCUUUGCAGGUUUUAAUAUAUCAUCUUGCCUUAUGAAGAGUUGAUUAUCACCACCCAGUGGUGCUUACAUACUGAUAGAAUUCAUGAUUAUAUGUAUCCAAAGUAGUACCAAGAGUACCAUACAAAAGAACUGACUAUAUUCUAUGUAAGUAGCUACUUAAUUGUAGUCAGUAUCAUAAAAUAUUGACGAGUUCUCAUUCUCUUAAAAAUUGGAGCUUUUUGGUCAAGCAAACUGCUUUUCCUUGGACAAAAUUUAUUGCAGUAAGUUGCUGAACUGAAAGUUUAAUUUAAGUUGUAAAAUUGAAAAGCUCUUGUAAUUGAAAAUGAAAAAUAUGGAGUAGUCUGAAUGCACGAAUGAGGAGUAAAUUACAGAUAAAAGGACUGACUAGAGAGGAACCCAUACGGAUAGUUGGAUGUUUACAAAUUACGUUUUAAUGUAAGAUGUAAUUAUAACUUUAUUUUUCAUCUUGAUUCGUUUUCAUUAUUUUCAUGCAAACACAGUGGCAGUUACACAGGAAAGCCAAAUACAGUCUGUAGAAAUUACUUCGGCCAAGUUUAAACAAAGUAUACUGAAAAAUGGUCUCAUAUUUUCACCUGGGAAAACCUUCUAUUUAGCAUUUAUAGCUCUCUACUGAAGGGAAGGAGUACCAGUAAUUCAUACUGCCAGUCUAUCAAAAUCCUGAGCUUUCUCUAUAAAUUGAAAAUACCAAGUUUUUUCGCACAGUUUAUAAAUAUAUUAGACUGCCUAUACAUCUUUUAUGAUUUAUCCAUUCACUUCUCACUGGUAUAAAGCUAAAACAAACUGACUUUUAAUUGUAGCCUUGAAACUCAGAAAUGAAAAGUAUAAAAAUAGGUGGAACUAAUCAUCUAUUGCAGAAAACUGAGGGCAGUUCUAAAGUUCAAGAAGUUUUUUUAAAAAAUAAAAUGAAUGUAGUCUUUAUGAGAAAUGUCAAUUUUAUUCUGGGCAACUGCAGUCAAAACAUGAGGGUUUUAGCUGGAGCAGUUAAGAACCAUAUGCUCAGAAAACUAAAAGAAGGAAAUAAUAGUUUUGGAAAAAGGUUAACAUCUUGACAUUAAAUUAUGGACUUUAAUAAAAAUUAUGAUAUGUUUUUAUAUGAUCAGGUAUAACUGACUGCUAUGGCAGGUAAUAAAACAGAAAUGAAAAGACUCAUUUCAUCUGUCAGUCUCUGGUUGCAGUAGAGCUCUGCAGGAAACCUAAAUGUGUGGGUCUUUGAACUGACCUAAAUAGCUGUGCGAAAUAAACCUGCUUUGCUUUCAAGCCUCAGUGCUGGAGAUAAAAGUAUCAUAUUCACUCUGGCUUGUUUUGUUCAAUAGUAUAGAAAACUUUAGUCCCAGUUUCAAACAAUAGCUCCUGCCUUUUAUAACCUGUUCUGCAGGUUUUUAAUUGAAUAUUUUUUAUUCAUGAAACUAAUUACACAUAUGUAUGCUUCUAUAAUUGCAGUGUGGUCCUUAAACUGUAUAAAUCAAAUUUGUCUUUAUGGGAUGCAGCUUUAUUAGAUUACUAUUACUUUGGAAUGAAUUUAUUAUUAUUAUAAUUAUUUAGAAAAAUAAUACUGCGUUUGUGUAAUCAAUAACCGUAAUUUUAUAGAUUUUAAGCCUUUAAAAGAAAUAGCAAAUCAUUAACUGUAAAUAGGACAAACUUUUUCAAUGAGUGCCUUUCUUCUAGGCAUCUAAAGCUGCUUAGAACAGUCUAAUGGCUUUUUUUUUUUUUUCCCUGCAAUGUGACUAAAU